GAUCAUGGCUCAGGACGAACGCUGGCGGCGUGCUUAACACAUGCAAGUCGAACGGAGCACCCUUGAUUGAGGUUUCGGCCAAAUGAUAGGAAUGCUUAGUGGCGGACUGGUGAGUAACGCGUGAGGAACCUGCCUUUCAGAGGGGGACAACAGUUGGAAACGACUGCUAAUACCGCAUGACGCAUUUUGAUCGCAUGGUCGAAAUGCCAAAGAUUUAUCGCUGAAAGAUGGCCCCG
rnacentral:rRNA from 1 species